rnacentral:rRNA from 1 species
UACGAAGGGGGCUAGCGUUGUUCGGAAUUACUGGGCGUAAAGGGCGCGUAGGCGGCGUGUCAAGUCAGGCGUGAAAGCCCCGGGCUCAACCUGGGAACCGCGCUUGAGACUGGCAUGCUCGAGUUCGGGAGAGGAUGGUGGAAUUCCCAGUGUAGAGGUGAAAUUCGUAGAUAUUGGGAAGAACACCGAUGGCGAAGGCAGCCAUCUGGGACCGACACUGACGCUGAGGCGCGAAAGCGUGGGGAGCAAACAGG